GAUGAACGCUGGCGGCGUGCCUAAUACAUGCAAGUCGAGCGAACGGACGAGAAGCUUGCUUCUCUGAUGUUAGCGGCGGACGGGUGAGUAACACGUGGAUAACCUACCUAUAAGACUGGGAUAACUUCGGGAAACCGUAGCUAAUACCGGAUAAUAUUUUGAACCGCAUGGUUCAAAAGUGAAAGACGGUCUUGCUGUCACUUAUAGAUGGAUCCGCGCUGCAUUAGCUAGUUGGUAAGGUAACGGCUUACCAAGGCAACGAUGCAUAGCCGACCUGAGAGGGGGAUCGGCCACACGGGAACGGAGACACGGUCCAGACUCCUACGGGAGGCAGCAGUAGGGAAUCUUCCGCAAUGGGCGAAAGCCUGACGGAGCAACGCCGCGUGAGUGAUGAAGGUCUUCGGAUCGUAAAACUCUGUUAUUAGGGAAGAACAUAUGUGUAAGUAACUGUGCACAUCUUGACGGUACCUAAUCAGAAAGCCACGGCUAACUACGUG
rnacentral:rRNA from 1 species